rnacentral:rRNA from 1 species
GAUGAACGCUGGCGGCGUGCCUAAUACAUGCAAGUCGAGCGAACGGACGAGAAGCUUGCUUCUCUGAUGUUAGCGGCGGACGGGUGAGUAACACGUGGAUAACCUACCUAUAAGACUGGGAUAACUUCGGGAAACCGGAGCUAAUACCGGAUAAUAUUUUGAACCGCAUGGUUCAAAAGUGAAAGACGGUCUUGCUGUCACUUAUAGAUGGAUCCGCGCUGCAUUAGCUAGUUGGUAAGGUAACGGCUUACCAAGGCAACGAUGCAUAGCCGACCUGAGAGGGUGAUCGGCCACACUGGAACUGAGACACGGUCCAGACUCCUACGGGAGGCAGCAGUAGGGAAUCUUCCGCAAUGGGCGAAAGCCUGACGGAGCAACGCCGCGUGAGUGAUGAAGGUCUUCGGAUCGUAAAACUCUGUUAUUAGGGAAGAACAUAUGUGUAAGUAACUGUGCACAUCUUGACGGUACCUAAUCAGAAAGCCACGGCUAACUACGUGCCAGCAGCCGCGGUAAUACGUAGGUGGCAAGCGUUAUCCGGAAUUAUUGGGCGUAAAGCGCGCGUAGCGGUUUUUUAAGUCUGAUGUGAAAGCCCACGGCUCAACCGUGGAGGGUCAUUGGAAACUGGAAAACUUGAGUGCAGAAGAGGAAAGUGGAAUUCCAUGUGUAGCGGUGAAAUGCGCAGAGGUAUGGAGGAACACCAGUGGCGAAGGCGACUUUCUGGUCUGUAACUGACGCUGAUGUGCGAAAGCGUGGGGAUCAAACAGGAUUAGAUACCCUGGUAGUCCACGCCGUAAACGAUGAGUGCUAAGUGUUAGGGGGUUUCCGCCCCUUAGUGCUGCAGCUAACGCAUUAAGCACUCCGCCUGGGGAGUACGACCGCAAGGUUGAAACUCAAAGGAAUUGACGGGGACCCGCACAAGCGGUGGAGCAUGUGGUUUAAUUCGAAGCAACGCGAAGAACCUUACCAAAUCUUGACAUCCUUUGACAACUCUAGAGAUAGAGCCUUCCCCUUCGGGGGACAAAGUGACAGGUGGUGCAUGGUUGUCGUCAGCUCGUGUCGUGAGAUGUUGGGUUAAGUCCCGCAACGAGCGCAACCCUUAAGCUUAGUUGCCAUCAUUAAGUUGGGCACUCUAAGUUGACUGCCGGUGACAAACCGGAGGAAGGUGGGGAUGACGUCAAAUCAUCAUGCCCCUUAUGAUUUGGGCUACACACGUGCUACAAUGGACAAUACAAAGGGCAGCGAAACCGCGAGGUCAAGCAAAUCCCAUAAAGUUGUUCUCAGUUCGGAUUGUAGUCUGCAACUCGACUACAUGAAGCUGGAAUCGCUAGUAAUCGUAGAUCAGCAUGCUACGGUGAAUACGUUCCCGGGUCU